GUGUCAGCAGCCGCGGUAAGACGAACCGUGCGAACGUUAUUCGGAAUCACUGGGCUUAAAGCGCGUGUAGGCGGAUGGGAACGUCGGUAGUUGAAAGCCCCCGGCUCAACCGGGGAAGUGGUGCCGAAACGACCCGUCUGGAGGGACGUAGGGGGACCUGGAACUUCCGGUGGAGCGGUGAAAUGCGUUGAGAUCGGAAGGAACGCCCGUGGCGAAAGCGAGGUCCUGGACGUCUACUGACGCUGAGACGCGAAAGCUAGGGGAGCAAACGGGAUUAGAAACCCUAGUAGUCC
rnacentral:rRNA from 1 species